ACUUUCAACAACGGAUCUCUUGGUUCUGGCAUCGAUGAAGAACGCAGCGAAAUGCGAUAAGUAGUGUGAAUUGCAGAAUUCAGUGAAUCAUCGAAUCUUUGAACGCACAUUGCGCCCUUUGGUAUUCCAAAGGGCAUGCCUGUUCGAGCGUCA
rnacentral:rRNA from 1 species